GUCUAAGGUCAUACCACCCUGACCGCGCCCGAUCUCAUCUGAUCUCGGAAGCUAAGCAGGGUCGGGCCUGGUUAGUACUUGGAAGGGAGAUAAGCUUCAUCUACC
ensembl:rRNA n-R5s56 nuclear encoded rRNA 5S 56